CUCUGUGAAACUCUGGGAAGACCUGGCUCCGAAGCACCAAGAAGCGAACCGCAGAGCUGGAAAGCACCCUAGGCCUCACGGAGGCAAAACCUUGGCUGACGGAUGGGGCAAAAUGAGACAAGAGGAAAAGUAACUUGCUCAAGUCCACUCAGCCAGCGAACAGAGCCGGAGCCGGGGUCUCCUCUCCCCGCGGCCCCUCUCCUCUCCAGCGAGGCGGCUUCUCAAGGGUUCUUUGAAAUACUUUCUUGGGCAAGUUGCACCCUCUACCCUGUGUACCUCUCUCUUGUGGAAACUGUCAACCGGAUAACAGGACCACCUUAAAGCUUAUGUAAGGUAGGAAAUGGAAAGUGCUUACUUAACAUAGUCCUAGCAUAGUAGGGACUCAAAAUGUGUAUUCAUGCUCAACCAGUAUUACUCAGUUGGUUGAGAGUCCUGCCAAAAGGUCGCUAGUUGGAUCCCCAGUAAGGGGCAAGCAGGAGGCACCCAAAGGAUUUUCUCUCUCUCUCUCUCCCCCUUCCUCUCUCU